AUGGGGUGCAGCAGGCGAGAAAACUUUGCAAUGUGCGAAAGCACGACAAGGUUAAUCCGAGUGAUUCCUGCUAAAGGAAUCUUUUGUUAGUCAUAAAACCACUAAUGAAUAAGGGGUGGGCAAGUUCUGGUGUCAGCCGCCGCGGUAAAACCAGCACCUCAAGUGGUCAGGAUGAUUAUUGGGCCUAAAGCAUCCGUAGCCGGCUCUGUUAGUUUUCGGUUAAAUCCAUAUGCUCAACAUAUGGGCCGCCGGGAAUACUACAAAGCUAGGGAGUGGGAGAGGUAGACGGUACUCCGUAGGAAGGGGUAAAAUCCUUUGAUCUAUGGAUGACCACCAGUGGCGAAGGCGGUCUACCAGAACACGUUCGACGGUGAGGGAUGAAAGCUGGGGGAGCAAACCGGAUUAGAUACCCGGGUAGUCCCAGCUGUAAACUAUGCAAACUCAGUGAUGCAUUGGCUUGUGGCCAGUGCAGUGCCGCAGAGAAGUCGUUAAGUUUGCCGCCUGGGAAGUACGUACGCAAGUAUGAAACUUAAAGGAAUUGGCGGGGGAGCAC
rnacentral:rRNA from 1 species